ACUGGGAGGGGCAGAUCCCUCACGGUGUCGCCCCCAUAACAGGGGACUGGAGUUCAUUCAUUUUUUUUUUAAUUUAACUUUUCCAUUUUUGGAGUUUUCGGGACGGGGUCUCAUGUAGCCCAGGCUGGAUUCAAACUCACGACGUACUCGAGGAUGACCUUGAACCCCUCACCUUAGGCUUGCCUGCUUGGGUGAAUGGCAUAAGUCGUCACCACAGGACUAAUUGCUUUUUUUUUUUUUUGAGACAGGUUUCUCUGUGGCUUUGGAGCCUGUCCUAGAACUAGCUCUUGUAGACCAGGCUGGCCUCGAACUCACAGAGAUCUGCGUGCCUUUGCCUCCCAAGUGCUGGGAUUAAAGGCGUGUGCCCCCACCGCCCGGGUUGACUAAUUGCUUUUUAAAGACACAUUCUCACUACACAACAUAAAGUGACCUUGAACUCACAGGAAUCUUCUUGCCUUGGCAUUCUCAGCGCCCUCCCUGGGAGAUUGGGGCGGACUCUUUCUCCAGCCCUAGAGGAGAAACACCCCUUGGUACCUGUGCAUAGCUCUCAGUGGCUCCUUCCUGACGCUGGGGGUACUCCCCAAAGAGCAACGGGGGAUCCCAGUCCUGAGAGCAUCUCUAGGGACCCCAGCCUUCCAGGCCCAGAAACUGAGGCUCACAGGAGGUUUAUGGGGACACACACAGAUGGAAGGGGAGUUGCUACGGUGGCUGGAGCAGCGGCAGCUCCUGCAUGCGCUUGCGGCUGACACGCUGGACCCUGCGCUGGACCCCGGCCGGCAGCUUCCUCCCCAGGCUCCUCAGCGCCACCGCCGCAGUGCCGCCAUGAACCCUGCACACCGCUGCUGUCUCACUGGCUGCACUCAGCAAGACCUGAGGCGCCUCUGUCCCACCUGAGGGGGGUCCUGGACUCAGGCGAUGGGUCCUUGAUAGCUCCCCCCCCCACCCCCCGUCAGGAUGCUCUAUACCUCCAGGGCCCGUGUGAAUGCAACAGCCCGGGUUUGCCUCGGAGGAGUCCCAGUUAUUCUUAGAUCCCAAAAAUGGAGGGUCACACGUCCUGUCCCAGGAGGAGCCUCCAACAUGCCCUGUGUCAUUCCCCCCUACCCCUUGUGUCCCCGACGAUCUAAAUAAAAAAGCAACUUCACACAUUUUGUUUGGGAAAAGCCACACGGGGGUGGGGGGCAGCGGCGGGCUGUGGCUGUGCUCCAGUCACACGAAGACCUGAGGUGACGCCAGAUCACAC